GUCCUAGCCAUAUUGUGGCGCGGGCGUAGCCCGAGCCCGUAACAAUUAUAUAAGUUAUUAUUUAUUUAAUAAUAUCUUAUUACUUAGAUAAUUAUAGUAAUUCUAGAGCUAAUAUAUACUAAAAAUCCCGACUUUAGAAGGGAUAUAUUUAUUAGAUUAAAAACUAAUGCCCUUUAGGCUCUUUAGUGAAUUAUAAUAACUUCUCAAAUUGUAGGGCUUUACGCUAGCAAUAGUUUAUUUAAAUUUCUUCCCUAUUAACUUUUAAUAUUUAGGUAGUAGCUAAAUAUAGUUACAAUAGGUAAUAAAGGGUUAGGGCUUAACUUUAAAGAAGGAGCCUAAAAAAUGGCUACUAUAUCUAAAGAAAGCAAUAGGCAUGCAAAUUACCUAAUCCCAAUCUAAGGAGAUAG
rnacentral:ncRNA from 1 species